UCGGGAAUUUUGGGCAAUGGGCGAAAGCCUGACCCAGCAACGCCGAGGGAGGGAUGAAGUAUUUCGGUAUGUAAACCUCGAAAGAAUGGGAAGAAUAAAUGACGGUACCAUUUAUAAGCUCCGGCUAACUACGUGCCAGCAGCCGCGGUAAUACGUAGGGGGCAAGCGUUGUCAGGAUUUACUGGGUGUAAAGGGUGCUCAGGCGGAUUUGUAAGUCAGAGGUGAAAUCUUACAGCUUAACUGUGAAACUGCCUUUGAUACUGCAAGCCUAGAGUAUGGAAGAGAGUGAUGGAAUAUCUGGUGUAGCAGUGAAAUGCGUAGAUAUCAGAUAGAACACCAAUUGCGAAGGCAUUCACUUGGUCCAUUACUGACGCUAAAGCACGAACGCGUGGGUAGCAAACA
rnacentral:rRNA from 1 species